rnacentral:miRNA from 1 species
AAAGCCCAGUUAUAUUUGAGUUUCACAUAAACAACCAAUAAUUAUUAGUGUAAGAAUGGCCCUUGAAAUGUUUGGGACAUACUUAUACUGAAAAAUAUUGCUCAUUUAUCUGUAAUUCGCAUUAAUUGGGUAUCCUGUA